UUGGGCUACCACUUAAAACCAAUUGGCAAUUAGUGGUGUGAUCCAAGUCCCUUAUAUAUUACUUAUGUCCCCAUCAUAUAUCCGAUGUGGGAUAUUCUCUCCAAUACCCUCCCUCGAGAUAAUGGUGCGUAUAACCAUUAAUCUCGCAGAAUCCAUCAUACCCUUCCGAGAUAAUGCUCUUUUUUAGCUAUUUCGGAGAACUGAGCCUUCUUUGGGUCAUCAGCUAAUGGGUUGAUCGGGCCACUGUCCGGGCCGGAUUAAAGGGUCAGAGUAUUGGGCCGGCUCUGAUACCAUGAUAAGUUUAUUGGGCUACCACUUAAAACCAAUUGGCAAUUAGUGGUGUGAUCCAAGUCCCUUAUAUAUUACUUAUGUCCCCAUCAUAUAUCCGAUGUGGGAUAUUCUCUCCAAUACAAACUCGACGUUUUACAGUAAACGCAACCCAUUGCCACUUCCGGCGAACACCUCACUCGACGUCACCACUUUCAUCUCCUCUCAAGCUCACCGAGGUACAACAGCCUUCAUAGACGCCUCCACGAGCCACCGCCUAAGCUUCUCCGGCCUCUGGAGAGCCGUGAACCGUGUUGCGGACUGUCUCCACAGCGACUUUGCGAUAAGAAGAGGCGACGUAGUACUCGUCCUAUCUCCCAACUCCAUCUCCGUCCCCAUCGUCUGCCUCUCCGUCAUGUCUCUCGGCGCCGUCGUCACCACGGCGAAUCCUCUCAACACCGCUGGUGAGAUCUCCGGGCAGAUGGCAGAUAGCAACCCUAAGCUCGCCUUCACAACGCCUGAGCUGGCUAAAAAACUCGCCGGUUCGGGUGUCUCCAUUUUCCUCGAGAGAAAGGGACCCACUCGCGGAGUCAGAGUCGCUGGUUAUCUGACUGAGAUGGUGAACAAGGAGACGAGUGGAGACCGUGCCAGAGACCGAGUCGACAAGGACGACACGGCGAUGCUUCUAUACUCGUCGGGAACCACGGGGCGAAGCAAAGGGGUGAUAAUUUCUCACGGGAACUUAAUAGCACACGUGGCGAGAUACAUUGCUGAGCCAUGGGAGACAAACGAGACUUUCCUCUGCACCGUUCCGUUGUUCCACACCUUCGGGUUACUAAACUACGUCAUGGCCACCGUAGCUUUGGGUUCAACGGUGGUGAUUCUCCGGAAGUUUGAUCUCCACGAGAUGGUGGCGGCAGCAGAGAAGUACAGAGCGACGACUCUGGCUCUGGUCCCGCCGAUCGUGGUAGUUAUGAUCAACGGCUCAGAUGUGAUCAAGGCCAAGUACGAUCUGAGUUCUGUCCGAAGGGUUAGGUGUGGUGGUGCCCCCUUGAGCAAGGAAGUUACUGAAGGGUUUUUAAAGGCAUAUCCAACGGUCGAUAUUUUUCAAGGGUACGCUUUGACUGAAUCGAACGGCGCAGGAGCUUCUAUUGAUACGGUGGAGGAGAGUCGGAGAUCCGGUGCGGUAGGGUUGUUGUCGUCCGGGGUGGAAGCGAGGAUUAUGGAUCUGGAUACGGGUCGGAUUAUGGGUGUUGACCAAACGGGCGAGCUUUGGCUCAAAGGGCCUUCUAUUGCUAGAGGUUAUUUUAGGAACAAAGAAGCUGCAAAAGAAACUAUCAAUUCAGAGGGAUGGCUUAAAACCGGAGAUCUUUGCUAUAUCGACGAUGAUGGGUUUGUUUUUAUCGUUGAUCGACUUAAAGAGCUAAUCAAAUACAAAGGUUAUCAGGUGCCUCCAGCUGAACUAGAGGCUCUCCUAUUAAGCCACCCGGAUAUUCUUGAUGCAGCAGUUAUUCCGAUUCCUGACAAGGAAGCAGGCCAAUGUCCAAUGGCUUUCGUGCAACGCAAGCCUGAGCGCGAUCUUUCUAAGAAACAAGUUAUUGACUUCAUCUCUAAACAGGUGGCCCCAUAUAAAAGAAUAAGGAAGGUCGCAUUUAUAGACUCCGUACCAAAGACUGCAUCCGGCAAAACACUUCGCAAGGUGCCUUCAGACUCCAGCUGAUCUAGAAGCUCUCGUAAUCAUUCAUACGACGAUCUCGAUGCCGCCGCUAUUCCGUUUUAUGAUAAAGAGGCAAGACAAUAUCCAAUGGCUCACGUGACACGAGUUCUUAUUAGAGCAACC